GAUGAACGCUGGCGGCGUGCCUAAUACAUGCAAGUCGAGCGAACAGACGAGGAGCUUGCUCCUCUGACGUUAGCGGCGGACGGGUGAGUAACACGUGGAUAACCUACCUAUAAGACUGGGAUAACUUCGGGAAACCGGAGCUAAUACCGGAUAAUAUAUUGAACCGCAUGGUUCAAUAGUGAAAGACGGUUUUGCUGUCACUUAUAGAUGGAUCCGCGCCGCAUUAGCUAGUUGGUAAGGUAACGGCUUACCAAGGCAACGAUGCGUAGCCGACCUGAGAGGGUGAUCGGCCACCCUGGAACUGAGACACGGUCCAGACUCCUACGGGAGGCAGCAGUAGGGAAUCUUCCGCAAUGGGCGAAAGCUUGACGGAGCAACGCCGCGUGAGUGAUGAAGGUCUUCGGAUCGUAAAACUCUGUUAUUAGGGAAGAACAAAUGUGUAAGUAACUAUGCACGUCUUGACGGUACCUAAUCAGAAAGCCACGGCUAACUACGU
rnacentral:rRNA from 1 species